rnacentral:lncRNA from 1 species
AAGCUAUGCAUUACUUUUUGAACCAAGCAAUCAGAUUUAGCAGAAUAAGCCUAUGCAUUUCAUCCAGGAUUAUGACAGCGGAUUAGGUAAGGCCUACAGGGACCGUACAGCCGGUGAUUGGGCUCCCAACCACCUACUGAAAAUUUAAAGGAGCUUUCUGCUUUCAGAUCCCUAUCACGUCCUCGACUUUCCUGCAAGAGGCAGAUUAUUACAGUCCCCUGGGAGCCACUCAGGGGGAGUCUCAGGGCACAGAGGUUAUUUGAUUCAAUUACAAGAAAUCUGAUGAGUAUCUACAAGGAACUCAGAGCUGUGGUAGGUGAGAACAGUUUUGGAUAUACGGAAAAGAUGAAUAAGGCAAUGUACUGGCUCUUAAGGAUUUGUGGUCUUUUUUAGGGAGAAGAGAAAAAAGUGCAUGAAGUAAAGAAAAAGCAGGGAAUGAGAGAAAAAAAUGGAGGAGUGAGUGCCACAGCCCAGUCAGUAAGUGCUACAUAUUUAGAAAUUAUUACAGGAACUUUUUCUGGACAGACAAGAACCUAAGUCUGAACAUCUAAAAGGCUCACAAAGAAUCAAGCAAAUUUAUUGAAAGAGACCAAUACUUAUUAGACCUAUCUUCGUGAACUGAAGAUCGAGAAAAAAAUUCCAAGAGGCAUUUGGACAGAAAAGCAUGUUGACUCCACAGGAACAAAAAUCAAACUGCAUUCAAAAUUCUCCUCUGCAAUGUCUAAUAGCAGGAGAAAUAAAAUAGUACCAACAGAGCUUCAAGGGAAAAAGACUGCAUUCUAAGAAUCCUAUAUUUAGGAAGUUGUUCAAGUGAAAGGGUAAUGGAAGAAAUGUUCUUAGAUGUGCAACUCACUGUUAUAACCUUUUAAACAAAGCCCUCGAAGACCUGAUUUAACUGACAGUGAAUGAAUCUAAAUACAGAGCUGUGGGAUGUGAGAGUCACAUCAGUGACCACUGAAACAAGUAUAAAGAAAAUUAAGUCUAGAUGAUUGUUUUACAUAUAAUUAUAAAACAGAAUAAAAGUGUAAAACGCAACUCUUGGAAGAGGAUAUUUAUAGUAUAAAAAUGGCCUAAUUAUAAUAAUUUGAACCUAAUGUUUUGCCGCACAAAAAUAGAAAUGAAGGAGAUAGAAUGGUAGGAGAAAACACUUAUUUCCUCAUUAUUCCCAAGAGGGAUAUUAUUUAACUCUUGAUAAAGAUAACUGGAAAUACAAACAGGAUGUAUCCUUUCUAAAUUACUAAAAAAAAAAAAAAACAAAAAAAACAAAGAAAAUAAAUUCCAUGUAACAAUCAUACUUUAUGUAACACACUGAAGUUUUUGGUCUUUAAUCUUCUUAUCUCCAGAGAUUGCUGUGACUCCUCGUCCACUCUGUAUCAUAGCAUCACCUCCAGUAUCAUUAAUGCAAGGCACCCCAUUUCUGACCACAGCUUCCUUCUUUUCCUUCUUGGCUUUAUUUUUAUUUCUUUAUUUAUUUUUGAGACGGAGCCUCGCUCUGUUGGCCCAGGUUAGAGUGCAGUGCCAUGAUCUCAGCUCACUGAAACCUCCACCUCUCAGGUUCAAGCAAUUCUCCAGCCUCAGCCUCCUGAAUAGCUAGGAUUACAGGCACCUGCCACCAUGCCUGGCUAAUUUUAGUAUUUUUAGUAGAGACAGGGUUUUGCCACGUUGGCCAGGUUGGUCUUGAACUCCUGACCUCAGAUGACCUGCCUGCCUUAGCCUCCCAAAGUGCUGGGAUUACAGACAUGAGCCACUGAGCCUGGCCACGUUCUUGGCUUUUUAAUUGCAACCAUUGAAAUAGAUCUUGAUUUCACUGUGACCUCUAGCUUCUUUAUCUUCAAUUUGCCCCAUCCUUCAGCCGUCCCCUUUCUUUAGUUUUCUACCUGUCCAGGUUAGAUUUCAGGGUCCAUUGUUUCAGCGAUAGUACUGCCAAAAUCCUAAACUCCCUCGCCCCUUUGGGCUUUUGUCAGACCCCAUCUGGCCGAAGACCAUUCCCAGAGCAACCCACACUGUGUGCUGUCUCUCUUCUUGUAUUUAAGCAGCUGGAGAAAAACACAACAGAGCAGAUUGUACCAUCAUAUAUUCAUGAGCAUCCAUUCUGAAUGGGCACCACAGUGCCAGAAUCCUUCAGAUAUCUCUGGUCAAUCUAUAGUCCAGCAAUCCACAAUGACCAUUCCAGAUCUUCUCUAGCUUCCUUAAAUGCCCAACUUUCCUACCCAUCAACGGAUGCCUUUAUUUCAUAUUUCACAGAGAUAAUAGACACUGUCACAUAAGGCCACUCCCCCCACUCCACACCCCCAAAUCCUGCUACCAAACUCACUAACAUAACAGCAUCUGUACCCAUCUGGUCCUCCUUCCUGCCUAUUCCAUAGAGGAGCUGUUUUUCUUUCUGAAAGAGAUCAAUUCCUCACAUGUGCUUUAGACCCCAUCUCCUUUCUCCUUCGCAGGAAUCUUAUAAUUUAGGUGGUUCUGUAUCUCCUGAAUAUCCAAUCUCUUUUCAACCUCAUCAAUUGCUUCAAAUUGUAAACAUUAAGCAAAUUAUAUUCAGCUUUCAAAAAAAAAGGGAGGAAAUCCUGUCAUUUGGGACAACAUGGAUGAAACUAGAGGACGUUAUGGAAAAUGAAAUAAAGCAGACAUGGAAAGAAAAAUACUACAUGAUCUGACUUACAUGUGGAGUGUGAAAAAGAACUCAGAAGCAGGAAGUAGAAUGGUGGUUACCAGGGGUCUUAAGGGGUUGGAGGGUUGGGAAGAUGUUGGUCAAAGGACACAACAUUUCAGGAGGAAUAAGUUCAAGAGAGCUAUUGUUUCACACGGGAACUAUGGUUAAUAACAAUGUAUUGCAUUCUUGGAAAUUGCCAAGAGAGUAGAUUUUAAGCGUUCUCACAACAAAAAUGAUUAGUAUGUGAGGUAAUGCAUAUGUUACUCAGCUUAAUGUAGCCAUUCCACAGUAUGUACAAGUUUCAAAGCAACAUGUUGUAUAUAAUAAAUACAUAUAACUUUGGCAAUCAAAUCAAAUAAAUAAAAGAAAAUAAAAAUAAAUGGAGAGAUAUUAUAAAAAUUCUACUGCAUUAAUAGUCACUAAUUCCAGUGCUUUGUAUUCCUUUGUGGAAAGGUUUUCCAAUCGUGUGGCACUAUUGACUUUUUUUUUUUUUUUGGUGACGGAGUCUCGCUCUGUCACUCAGGCUGGAGUGCCGUAGCAUGAUCUCAGCUCAUUGCCAUCUCUGCCUCCCCGGGUUCAAGCCAUUCUCCUGUGUCAGCCUCCUGAG